rnacentral:rRNA from 1 species
UUACGGUCAAAUCACGCUGAAACACCGGUUCGCGUAAGAUCACUGAAGUCAAGCAGCGUAGAGCCAGGUCAGUACUUAGAUGGGGGACCGCUUGGGAACACCUGGUACUGUAAG